AGGUAGUGAAAUGGAUGAUAACGCUUUUAAAAGUCAAUCAUUUUUUCAACCAUGUCGGAGGGAUCACAAGUUACGGUGGUGAGUCCUUUUGAAUUACCAAGUGGAUCCCAUGCAGGACAUGGUCAUAAUACGGUGGUGGGCUACACUCAAUGUGGGUACCAACCACCUCAUGUUAGCAUGUUUCAACAUAACCCUUUGACAACUGGAAAUCAGGACAAUGACAUUCAUUCAUGAGCAAUAUAUAUGGAGCUUCCGUUGCCCCAGUUUUUUUUAUUGGCGCCCAUCGAAACCAUUGGAUGAAUCACUCUUUUUGUGCAGCUUUUUUUUUGUUGGAUAUAUUUGAUAGGUGUGGCCCUUUUUUCUUUUUUCUUUUUUGGCGCCUACCUAAAAAUUGGAUUGAUGGUUCAUUUUGGGUAAUUUCUUCAAUUAUAUUAUUUGGUGGGUCCACAUGCUAAAAUGAUAUGAACAAACAAGUAUCCAUAAGCCCAUGUGGCAAUUACUUGCACGUGGAUUUCUCUCUAGUCAUUAGGCAAAUGGAGAGAUUGUCCACUCUGGUGCUUUGAAAAAUGUGGACAAUUGAAUCAGCCAUCCAGACAGUAUUAAAAUCACUUUUGCAUGGGCCAUCAUGAAAAAUACACUACUAGAAGACUCCAUAGAAGAUGUGAUCUUAGAACACUGAAGCACUUCUCUAGAGCUCUUAGAUUGCAGUGAAACUUCGAUUUCUCAUUUUUCAUUAGGUCACUUAUUUGCUACACAAACUAUGGAUGCAUGUGUACAAGAUGUGGGGCAUUGAAUAAGUUGGAUGGACAGUGACUGUUCCUUUGUCCAAAAA